GCAUUGGUGGUUCAGUGGUAGAAUGCUCACCUUCCGUGUGGGAAACAUGGGUUUGACUCCCGGCCAGUGCA
rnacentral:tRNA from 1 species